rnacentral:rRNA from 1 species
CGCNGAUNCCUCCUUUAAGAAAUGGGUCCUAGACCCCACACACGCCACUCGGAUAAAGAAUCGGGCCUAUAGCUCAGCUGGCUAGAGCACACGACUGAUAAUCGUGAGGUCAGUGGUUCGAGUCCACUUGGGCCCACCAAAUGGGGCUGUAGCUCAGCUGGGAGAGCACCUGCUUUGCAAGCAGGGGGUCACCGGUUCGAUCCCGGUCAGCUCCACCAAAGGGAAGAGGCCCGCGCGCAGCGGGUCGGACGCUGGGGUGGAGAAGUAGGCGGCAGGAAGCGGGUAACAGGUAACAGGAAGUAGAGAGUAGGAAAGUAAUUAAAGAGUCCGUAGUAGUGAGUUUCUGAAUAAAGAAGCUGAGUACUACCGAUUCGCAGUAUGGAAGCGGUAUUGUUCUUUGACAGUUGAGGAAGGGAAGGCCAUGUUUGUCAUCUUGCCGAUGGCAGACCUCCAAGUGGAUGCUUGGGGAUAUAUGGUCAAGUGAAUAAGGGCAUACGGUGGANUGCCUUGAC